UACGGGGGGGAGCAAGCGUUGUUCGGAUUUACUGGGCGUAAAGGGCGCGUAGGCGGCGCAACAAGUCACUUGUGAAAUCUCCGGGCUUAACCCGGAGCGGCCAAGUGAUACUGUCGUGCUAGAGUGCGGAAGGGGCUACUGGAAUUCUCGGUGUAGCGGUGAAAUGCGUAGAUAUCGAGAGGAACACCUGCGGCGAAGGCGACUCUUUGGCCUGUAACUGACGCUGAGGCGCGAAAGCGUGGGGAGCAAACAGG
rnacentral:rRNA from 1 species